UUGCUAAAAACAAUGGCGCUGUCUUUCAGUGACACAGCGGAGUCUCUCGGUGAAGAUGCAGAGCGUUCUGGGUGCUGACAAGCAGCUAACGAAGAUAUGAAUGUCAGAUGUCACUGACUGGCAGCUUCAUUUUGAAUGAGGGUCACUGUCUGCCCAUUGAUAGAGGCCAGAUUGUCUUGGAAGUUCCAAAGUUACAACGAUUUCUGGCUAGUACCACGAGGUUUACUUGACUGUGGUAUGAAAAGCUGAUAAGAAAACCAUCCAGAAAAAAAGCUCUUCAUUUUACAAACAUGAAAAUAAAACAUGUAAUUUUGGAUUA